AUUGAACGCUGGCGGCAUGCUUUACACAUGCAAGUCGAACGGUAACAGGCCUUCGGGUGCUGACGAGUGGCGAACGGGUGAGUAAUGCAUCGGAACGUGCCCAGAGGUGGGGGAUAACGCAGCGAAAGCUGUGCUAAUACCGCAUGUGAUCUGAGGAUGAAAGCGGGGGACCAGGCAGCAAUGUUUGGCCUCGCGCCUUUGGAGCGGCCGAUGUCAGAUUAGGUAGUUGGUGGGGUAAAGGCCUACCAAGCCGACGAUCUGUAGCUGGUCUGAGAGGACGACCAGCCACACUGGGACUGAGACACGGCCCAGACUCCUACGGGAGGCAGCAGUGGGGAAUUUUGGACAAUGGGCGCAAGCCUGAUCCAGCAAUACCGCGUGCGGGAAGAAGGCCUUCGGGUUGUAAACCGCUUUUGUACGGAACGAAAAGGCUCUGGCUAAUACCUGGGGCUGAUGACGGUACCGUAAGAAUAAGCACCGGCUAACUACGUG
rnacentral:rRNA from 1 species